AUGAACGCUGGCGGCGUGCUUAACACAUGCAAGUCGAACGAAGCACUUAUCUUUGAUUCUUCGGAUGAAGAGGUUUGUGACUGAGUGGCGGACGGGUGAGUAACGCGUGGGUAACCUGCCUCAUACAGGGGAAUAACAGUUAGAAAUGACUGCUAAUACCGCAUAAGACCACGGAGCCGCAUGGCUCCGUGGGAAAAACUCCGGUGGUAUGAGAUGGACCCGCGUCUGAUUAGGUAGUUGGUGGGGUAACGGCCUACCAAGCCAACGAUCAGUAGCCGACCUGAGAGGGUGACCGGCCACAUUGGGACUGAGACACGGCCCAAACUCCUACGGGAGGCAGCAGUGGGGAAUAUUGCACAAUGGGGGAAACCCUGAUGCAGCGACGCCGCGUGAGCGAAGAAGUAUUUCGGUAUGUAAAGCUCUAUCAGCAGGGAAGAAAAUGACGGUACCUGACUAAGAAGCACCGGCUAAAUACGUGCCAGCAGCCGCGGUAAUACGUAUGGUGCAAGCGUUAUCCGGAUUUACUGGGUGUAAAGGGAGCGUAGACGGCUGUGUAAGUCUGAAGUGAAAGCCCGGGGCUCAACCCCGGGACUGCUUUGGAAACUAUGCAGCUAGAGUGUCGGAGAGGUAAGUGGAAUUCCCAGUGUAGCGGUGAAAUGCGUAGAUAUUGGGAGGAACACCAGUGGCGAAGGCGGCUUACUGGACGAUGACUGACGUUGAGGCUCGAAAGCGUGGGGAGCAAACAGGAUUAGAUACCCUGGUAGUCCACGCCGUAAACGAUGACUACUAGGUGUCGGGGAGCAAAGCUCUUCGGUGCCGCAGCAAACGCAAUAAGUAGUCCACCUGGGGAGUACGUUCGCAAGAAUGAAACUCAAAGGAAUUGACGGGGACCCGCACAAGCGGUGGAGCAUGUGGUUUAAUUCGAAGCAACGCGAAGAACCUUACCUGCUCUUGACAUCCCAUUCGAUAGAGGGUAAUGCCUCUAGCCCUUCGGGGGAAUGGAGACAGGUGGUGCAUGGUUGUCGUCAGCUCGUGUCGUGAGAUGUUGGGUUAAGUCCCGCAACGAGCGCAACCCUUACUGUCAGUUACUACGCAAGAGGACUCUGGCAGGACUGCCGUUGACAAAACGGAGGAAGGUGGGGAUGACGUCAAAUCAUCAUGCCCCUUAUGACUUGGGCUACACACGUGCUACAAUGGCGUAAACAAAGUGAAGCGAAGUCGUGAGGCCAAGCAAAUCACAAAAAUAACGUCUCAGUUCGGAUUGUAGUCUGCAACUCGACUACAUGAAGCUGGAAUCGCUAGUAAUCGCGAAUCAGCAUGUCGCGGUGAAUACGUUCCCGGGUCUUGUACACACCGCCCGUCACACCAUGGGAGUUGGUAACGCCCGAAGUCAGUGACCCAACCGUAAGGAGGGAGCUGCCGAAGGUGGGACCGAUAACUGGGGUG
rnacentral:rRNA from 1 species